UACGGGGGGAGCAAACGUUGUUCGGAAUCACUGGGCGUAAAGGGCGUGUAGGCGGCUGGAUAAGUGGGAUGUUAAAUCCCCCGGCUCAACCGGGGACCUGCAUCUCAUACUGUUCAGCUCGAGCACAUCAGAGGAGACUGGAAUUCCCGGUGUAGCAGUGAAAUGCGUAGAUAUCAAGAGGAACACCAGUGGCGAAGGCGAGUCCCUGGACAAUACCUGACACUGAGGCACGAAAGCUAGGGGAGCAAACAGG
rnacentral:rRNA from 1 species